CUACGGGGGGCUGCAGUGGGGAAUAUUGCACAAUGGGCGCAAGCCUGAUGCAGCCAUGCCGCGUGUAUGAAGAAGGCCUUCGGGUUGUAAAGUACUUUCAGCGGGGAGGAAGGGAGUAAAGUUAAUACCUUUGCUCAUUGACGUUACCCGCAGAAGAAGCACCGGCUAACUCCGUGCCAGCAGCCGCGGUAAUACGGAGGGUGCAAGCGGUAAUCGGAAUUACUGGGCGUAAAGCGCACGCAGGCGGUUUGUUAAGUCAGAUGUGAAAUCCCCGGGCUCAACCUGGGAACUGCAUCUGAUACUGGCAAGCUUGAGUCUCGUAGAGGGGGGUAGAAUUCCAGGUGUAGCGGUGACAUGCGUAGAGAUCUGGAGGAAUACCGGUGGCGAAGGCGGCCCCCUGGACGAAGACUGACGCUCAGGUGCGAAAGCGUGGGGAGCAAACAGGAUUAGAUACCCGAGUAGUC
rnacentral:rRNA from 1 species